rnacentral:rRNA from 1 species
UAUUGGGCGUAAAGAGCUCGUAGGCGGCUUGUCGCGUCGGAUGUGAAAGCCCGCGGCUCAACCGGGAGUCUGCAUUCGAUACGGGCGGGCUGGAGUUCGGUAGGGGAGAUCGGAAUUCCUGGUGUAGCGGUGAAAUGCGCAGAUAUCAGGAGGAACACCGGUGGCGAAGGCGGAUCUCUGGGCCAGACCUGACGCUGAGGCACCAAAGCGUCGGGGAGCGAACAGGAUUAGAUACCCUGGUAGUCCACGCCGUAAACGAUGGGCACUAGGUGUUGGGGGCAUUCCCCCUCCUCAGCGCCGCAGCUAACGUGAUGAGUGGACCGCCUGGGGAGUACGGCCGCAAGGUUAAAACUC